rnacentral:lncRNA from 1 species
CAGCGUGGUUCUAAAUAUCUGCACAUUGUGUCAAUGAUACACAUCCAGUUCACAUUUCUGUUGUAUUUUGUUGUAUUACAAAGAGGAAACAACUUUAGCUGUCAACAAUAUGAGUAAAGAUGACCUCCCUCCUCUUCCCUUCAAAUGUACACAUAUCACCGGCACACCCCGGCACCCAAAAUAAAGGACCAUCUGACUCCGAGGGCAACAAUGCCACCCAUUCUCUGCCCAAAUAAUGCCAUGUCUGUGCGUGAUCCCCCGAUGUGACACCCAGCUGCCUGCAGGUAGCCAAGGACAAUAGGAUGAUGUCUGCCUGCGUUUGCCAAGCAUGUGACGCCCCCGGGUCGUAUAAUAGGCAUCCCUGAUGAAAACACAACUCAAAGUGCGGACAGACACCAAGCACUUUUGUGAGACAUAGUGACCCACUUCAAGCCUCGGCAACAUGAGAGUUGGAGUGCCCGUUUUUGUGUUCUUAGCCGUCGCAGGCUUACAAUAUGCCACAGCUGCAUCACUGGCAUCUGAGGAGAUGGAGGAUUCGUCUGAAGAGGAAGUGGACAAACUGACUUUGCUGCUGAAAAGAGAUCAGAUGGAGUUUGAGGCAGCCCAGGUGGAGAAUGCUGAAGAGACUCAGGCUGCCCAUGAUCAUUUUGAAGCGGCCAAAGUGGAGGAGGCUGAGGAGAUCCAAGCCGCAGGAGAUCAGUUUGAAGCGGCCAAAGUGGAGGAUGCUGAGGAGAUCCAAGCCGCAGGAGACGAGGAAGAGAGUGAGGAGGAUGAGACUGAGGAAGUCACUCACUACAUGGAGGCAAGUCAGGAUGAGGACUCACAUGAGGUAGUCCAAGAGGAGGACACAGAUGAUGCGAAAAAAGAUGCCCAAGAGGUCAUCAGUGAUGAUUCACAUUCUGAAGAGAAAUCAGAGGCCGCCUUAACCGCCACGGACACCAGACAAACACAAGAUGUAUCCACUGAGGGCUUGGCUGAGGAGGAAGCACUGGAGGAGUGAACCACUGGAUGAGGGACAGGGAGAGGGGACGAGGUCCAAGCCAUUCAGAGGAGAAAUGAUACUGCAGAGCUGAUUCUGUUCAAUAAAUAAGAAUCAUUACUCCCUAUAAGACA